rnacentral:lncRNA from 1 species
UAUUAAUACUUCAUAGUUCAAUUUUAAAAUAUAGAUAGUGAAAUGAAUGCUCCUAUCUUAUUCUUAUUUUCAGGACAAUGUUAUCAAUACAGGAUUUCUUGUGGUUCUGUAAAUACUUUAAAAGAAUUUCUAACAUUACAAGUAAAGAAUGACAUAUAUGGAGAGUUGUAUUGAUUUAUAUUUUCUCUAUUUAUCCCUAAAAAUUUCUGUAUUAUCUCAUGAUCCGUAUGUUGCGUCUCACAAGCCUGCUCAUGAUAAUCUCAGACUCAGGCAUGGAAAAUAUAUGGUUCUCCCAAAUGCUGAGAAGUUCUCACUGAAGAUAGAGUCACCACACCUACCUGUUGGUAUUCAUUAUUGUUUUCUUGUAUGUAAAACUCCAUUAUAUAUUUAUAUUUUAUGUGUUAGCAGCAUGUGUGCUGGCCAUAAUUUAAAUUCCUUACAUUAUGUGUAUGUCUUAUUAUUUCUUUAGAUGUCACAGGAUAUUAUGUCAUGUAGAUGUAGUUUAUGUUUUUUUAAGCAUACAAACACCACCUGUUCAUUUUCUCCAUUAAUUGCACUGAGGACAAUAUCCAGUGUAUGUUCUGCAAGGUGGCAUACACUUGAAUCUGUUCCUUUUUAUCUUUUGGGAAAGUACUGAAUGUUUAGGACUCUAGGUAUUUUCUUCCAUUUAAAUUCAUGAAAUUACAGUUCUACAGUUGAUCUAAAUUUCUGAGUCCUUUUUUUUCUUCUCUGAUUAAUCUUCCCUUUUUUAAUAAUUAGCAUGAUACUUAUGUUUUUGAGUUCAAUACUAAAAGAGUGAAUAUGUUUGAUUAAUUUCAUUGCUGUAAGUUAUGAAGCAUGAAAUAGUCAUGCCAUACAUGGAACACAUUUUUCCACCAUGUGUACUCACAUUUAUGGAAGGCCAGUAUUUCUUCUGUAAGUCUUGGAUUUUUUUACUUUUUUGCAUUAUUUAAAAAGUGUUAUAUAGUAAGUUCACAGAGAGUUGUAAAAGAAAAAUGACCUCUUAUAUUCAUAAAGUUUCCAGCUGCUGAGGGUCAAAUCCUCCUCAGCAUAUUUUUACAAAUGUAGUUUUGUUGCAAUGCAUCCCUAUUCACAAACUCACAGUGUCUUAGUGAGACGUUUCAUUACUGUGACCAGUGAUUUAAAGGAACACUUCUCUUAGCUUGUGACCGCAGAGGGUACCAUGAACAGCUGGCUUGCUGCAUUGUUUCUGGAUUGAAGAUGUGUCCCAUGACUGCAGGACAUUAUAAAGCACAGGAGUUCACUACAUGACAACCAGGAAGCAGAGGAGAGUUACCAGAAUGGAUCAGAUCCAAGAUGUACCCUCCACAGUGUCUGUCUCUGCUGCUCAGUGACUCUGCAACUCAAAUAAUAAAGCCAUGGUUGCUCUCUGCAUCCUGAGAAGCACACACUGGAGGAGACCACUUCCCUAAGCAGGCUGUCCUCAACAGAGAGAUGGGAAGGUCAAUUGAAAAACAUGCGUCCUCAGAGGGAUCCUUUCUGGGCAGAUUAACAGUGACUUCCAGGGUUUGGAGUCCUGCUUCAGUUGCAAAAAGGAUGGUUCCCCCCAGCUUUCAGAAUCAGGCAGAAACAUGAGACUGCUGUUGUACCUGUGAAGAAUUACUACACCAGGGUCAGUUCUCACCGGUCACCAUGAGACAUUCUGAGAGCUUGGAGCUAUAACAUUUGCUGUCAGUCUCAUUUAACAAUAUCACCCUAAUCUGAUCAGGAGGGAAAUUUUCUCCAUGUGGAUAUCUAGAUGGACCAUACUGAGGACAUUGUGAAUGACAGGGGAAUAGAUACCUGAAGGGAAUCAUGCCACUGACUCUGAAGCCAUGGCUUUUACAUUAAGGUCUGCCAUCCCUGCCACAGUCCAUGAAUCCUUUAUCAUCUACAAGGAAGAUGAUUCACUUUGAAAAGCUUUUUCUGAUAGAGACCAGUGUGCUGUAUCAUCUUUGGAGAAAUGCCUAUUUAUUUAGAUAUUUAGAUGUGUUAUUCAGAGUCUGUAUGUGCUAAACACCAGGAUCUCACACUCUUCAAGAAGGCCACAAUUUUAGGAUCUUAAGGGACCAACAGAUGUAUGUGACCACCUGCUGCAGACGAAGGAAUAGUGCAAAUUAUUGCUUAAUCUUCAGGACAAUUUUGGAUACAGCAUGCAGAUUUUUCCUUCAGAGCAGGCCUUGAAAAUAAAGAGCCCACAUCACCCUCCAUGCUUUAUUUCCCAUCAAGUGCAUGAAGAAAAUUUUCUGACUAUGGGAUAUUGGUAAGUGAACAGAUCUAUGCAUACAUCAGUAUGCCAUUAGGACUCAAUGUAUCUGUAGCUUAAUGAAAGAAAUAUGUUUUACACAAAUAUGUGACCAUUCUAGUCUCAGAUUCUUGGACAUUUUAUCGGUGUGGGAUAUUUCUUCAAUCCAGUAGUGUUAAUCAUAAUUUAAAAGUAGUUGGUUUAUACUGCCAUUAUAGUUAAGCCACUCUGUCAGCAAGAUGUCUGAAGACUGCCCACUAUAUUUUAAUUUAGGAAGUGUAGGUAAAGAUGGUGAGAAUUUUUGUUCAUUCUAUACAUUUGAAGAUAGAGGUUUCUGUCCCUGCCAGGUUCCACAGCAGCAUUGAACCAAAUAAACACAGAAAGACUUAUAUUAAGUAGAAGACAUGUGGCCUCAGGCUCAAGCUUCUUGUUUCCUAGCUCUGCCUUAAUUGUUAACCCAUUUCUAUUAUUCUGUGCAUUACCACAGCCUGUGGCUUACCCAUAAUAUGUCAUGUUAACUCCUUCAGCUGCAUGGUGUCUGUUAGAAACCUCUCUCUGCCUUCCUCUCUCUCCAGGAUCUCCUGAUAUCUUACCCCUGACUAUGCUUCAUGCCUGGCUGCUGGCCAAUCAUUUUUAAUUGUAUAAAAGAAUGUAUAAAAGAAACAUAUGUACCGAAGGACAUCCCCUAUCAAACUUUCAUCAUAUGUAGUUAAUUGGACAGAAUUUUCUGAGUGCCAGAUGUAUUUAUGUUCUAUGGUAAAACAAUUAAGGAGGAUAUUCAAAGAUAAGUUCUUCUAAUUGCAUUGGCUAGUAUAACCAUGUUUGGAUAUAUUCUGAGACUAUAGGAAACCCAAUAGCCAACAAGUAAAUCAAAUAACUCUGGAAACUGAGAGAUAUAUUUCUUAUGCUUCUUCCUAUUAUAAGAAUUACAGUUGUUACAAUAUCUCUCCAGUUAUAUCUCAGUGCAUUUCAAUUUCUUGCACUGAUUCUGUGUUUAUCCAUUUACAUAUACUUGUGUUUGCAUCCCUUUCCUACCUGUGAUAUAAGAGCAUGUUAUGUAUUAUUUUAUACUUCUUUGUGUUUCCAUCGGAAAUACAAUCUGCUCUUCUAAAUGUCAAAAUUUAUAACUUUUAUUAUAAAAUUAUUUUAUCCUGUAUAUACAAAUGCACACUUACUUAACACAUAAUGUGUACUUAAUCUUCUGAUUAUGAAUAACUAUAUUUAAUAUUGACACUUAGAAAGGAAGGUCUAUUGUUGUUUUGUUUUUUGUUUAUUUGUUUCUUUAUUUACAUUAGACAAGAGUUCUUUUUUCCUAGUACUCAUAGUUUGUCAGAAGUUUUUCAACUAAGUGUCUGGAGUCAAGUGAGGUUUCUCUCUGUGUUGGAAUGACAAUAUUUGGUGUGAUUGUAGUAAACUUUUUGUCAUUUUGUUGGUUUUGUUUGAAUUGUUUUUGGGUAUUGAAGUCAUCAAAUUUCUGAGCUUUGAAAUUCCCUACUCCUCUUUCCGGAAACUCUGGUCACAACAGAUAUCGUUUUCCACUGAACCAAAAACAUUUCUGUCCAUUGCAUGCAAUAUUUUCUGUGUCUGAGAAUAGUAGAAAGUUGUGUUAUUGAUCAGUUGUGGUUGGACACAGCAUUGUAAGUCCUUAGCCAUUUGAGCAGUUGUGGAAAUGUGUAACAUGAGGCCACUGGCAGUGAGACCAGGAUUUAUCCCUAGUGCUUGAAGUAGCUUUAUAAAGCUCAUUCUCUGGGAAGGAUACCUUGCUCAGCUGACAUAUAGGAGGGAGGGUGUUGGUGCUGCCACAAAAAGAUGUGCCAGACUUUGUUUUCACCAUUGGAAGGCUUAUUCUCUCUGAGGCAUGGAUGGGGUGGUUUUUGGGAAGGUGUGGAUAGCAGGAGGAGAGGAGAGAUUGGGAACAGGGAUUGGUCUGUAAAAUGAGAAAGAUUGCUUUAAAUUUUAAAAUGUCUUUCAUCAAAUUUUUAGGCAAGAGAAUGUAGUGAAUAUUUUCAAAAUUUCAAUAUUCACAUAUUAGUACUGAACAGAAUAUUUCAAAAUCAUAAUUGGCACUGAGAAUACAAAAUGAAUGUCAAAUAUAUUCAGAUGUGUUAGUAACAAACCACACAUAAAACCAUACAAAAAUUGUGAAAUUUUUCAUAAUAUACACAUAGUAGGAAUUUCUUUCCUAAAUACAAUACUUCAGAUCAGUGCAUAAAUAUCUUCACAAAGUUAGAUAUGGCAUACAAACUAGAGGUAUUCAGAAGAGGACUUGAAGCUAACAAUUCCAUGAACUAUUAAAGGUCCUUCUUGUACAUAUAGGAGAAAACUAAAUUUCAACCAUAUAUGUCACAGUAGAGUUUUUUUCCUAUUAACAGCUGGGGUCAGACACAGCGUAUAUUACAUUUAUUCUUAUCAUCCACUUUCAGUUUUACCGCGUUUGCUACAACACACUUUUGAGUGGGAGAGAAGAAGAAUCAGCACCUCAGAUGUAGAAAUUAAGUAUUAAUAUAGGAUUUGCCUUCAGUGCUGGAAUUAAGAUAACUCUCCUAUUCCUUGCCUGAUUUGAAUGCACACAGUCCAUCAGAGGCCAGGAGUGCUAAUAAAAGCAUCAGUAGCACAGCUUCUUACAUGUCAGUCUCAGGCUGUUCUCUAGGACUCACUUGAUCCUGGAUAUGACCCAAGCCUGAUUGUACUGACUCAGACAAUGCAGACAGCUCCUGACAUCUAACAGAGGCAGAACCUGUGGGAUUCAGAAAAGGCAGGGAUUGUUUGCUUCUCGGCCCAGAAGGGCUUAACAAGAAAAUUUGCACUUACGAUGUAAUCACUGCUUUUCCGGCACUAAUGUACAUAUAUUAGACAGUGCUAAAAUUGAAGAGUGAAUCUGACAGGACAUAUCAGAAAACGCAAGCAACAAUCAGCCCUUAGCACCCACGAUUCACAUCAUGAAUGUCCAGGCAUUAUCCUGGGCUUUCAUAAAUUUAGUCCGGAUGUAGCCCCAAGCAACCUAAUAUAUAAUUGCCCUCCUAUCUGCCAGCAGUUUCUAUUUUUUAUUUGGAUAACUGGAGUUUUGUCCAGUAGAAAUUAUGUCUUCUCGUGUUGUCUGCUUUCAGUUUCCCUGCUUCUAGGUCAGCACUCGUUUAGGUGGGAGGGAGAAAUGAAUCAGCAGUUCUGAUGGAGAUUUCCAAGAGAACAUCAGGAUUUGUCCCCAGUGCUGGCAUUGAGAUCUCUCUUCUUAUUGGCUCCUUUCCCAAUUGAAAUGCACACAGCCCUUCAAUCAGAAGCAAGGGGCCCUAAUAAAAGUGUCCACAGGGAAGCUUCUUACCAGUAGGGCUCGGGCUCUACUCCAGGACUCAGGAGUUCCUGGGUAUAACCCGAGCCCUACUGGACACUGAACCAGACAAGGCAGACUGCUGACAUCUACAGGAGUCAGAGCCCAUGAGAAUCAGCAAAGACAAGCAUUGAUUGAUACACGGCACAGGGGGCUUUCAGUGAAUAUUUCCACUUAUAAGCAUUUCAUUACAGGCAAUCAUAAUAUAUUUUGGAGAAAAGCUAACAUGAAUUAUUGGGGAAUCUGACAGGGUAUAUUAGACAAUGUAAGCAACAAUCGGGUCUUGGCAGCUCUGAUUCACAAUCAUGCAGCCCCAGGUAGAUUCAGGGGAUUUCAUACUGAUAGCCAGGAUGUAGCCCCAAACAGUCUGAUAUAUGACCAACCCCUAAUUGUCACCAGUUCCUGUGUUUUCUUUUUUAUUAUUGGAGUUUUGUGCAGUUAAAAUUAUAUUUUUCAUGUACACGUUCAAUUUGGCUGCUUCUCUGGCAGCACACGUUUUAGUGGGCAGGAGAAAUGAAUCAGCAGUUCUGAUGGAGAUGUCUAAGAGAACAUCAGGAUUUGCUCCCAGUGUUGGCAUUGAGAUCUCUCUUCUACACGCACAAUUUAAAUGCACACAGGCCUUCAUUCAGAGGCAUGACAUGCUAAUAAAUGUGUCUGCAGUGAGGCUACUUAUCAGUUGGGUUCAGGCUCUACUCCAGGACUCAUUUGAUCAGUGGUAUAACCCGAGCUGACUAUACACUGACUCAGACAUGGCAGACAACUCCGGCCAUUUACGGGAGUCAGGGCCCAUGGGAAUGAGCAUAAGUAGGGAUUAUACUUCUCAGUCAUCUGUUCCUGUCUCCUAUGCAGGAAGUAGAAUCAUGCUCUGGAAGCUAUUGUUUCUUUUUUAAAAUCUGACAUCCCUGUCUAAGUCUUGAAGUGUUGUAUCAUGUGCAAGGUAGAUAGUUCACUUCUGGCUAUAAUUCAUAUCAAUUUUGUAAAUUUGAUCAUUGAGGCUUUAUGAAGACAAGAACCAUCACAAAGCAGUACCUCAAGCCUGCAUCAUAAAAGAUCCCACAUCAACCUGUUUGUUUUAUUUCCAAUCUAAUGCAUGAAGAAACACUUCUGACUAUGGAAAAUGGAUACAUGAACAGAUCAAUGGAUAAAUCAUUUCAUCAUCAGGACUCAGUUUAUGAAUAACUGAAUGAAAGGAUUAGGUUUUGCACAAGUCUGUGACCAUUCUAGUCUUGGGUUCUUGGGCAUUUUAACAGUAUGGGAUAGUUCUUCAAUUCAAUGAUGUUAAUCAUAUUUCGUAAAAGUAGCUUAUAUUCUCAUGAUCUUUUAGCCACUAUGUCAGCAUUGAAGAGUAUCAAGUAUAUUUGGCUUUUGGGCGUGUAGAAUAAGAGAGUGAGAUGUUUGUUCCUCCAGAACUUUUGAAGUUAAUGUUUUGUGUCCUGCCAGAUUCCAUAGCUUCUCUGACCCAAAGAAACACACAAAGACUUAUAUUAUGUAUAAAAUGUUUGACCAAUGGCUCAGAUGGCUUGGUUUGCCUUAAUUGUUAUCAAAUUUCUUUUCAUCUCUGCAUUGCCACAAGGCUGUGGCUUACACUUAAUCUGGUAUGUUACUCCUUUGGCAACAUGGUGUUUGUUAUGGGCAAACUCUCUGUAUUUCUCUCUCACCAGCCUUCUUCUGGACUGGUGUCCCUGCCUAUGCUUCCUUCCUGGCUGCUGGACAUUCAGUGUGUUUUUUUUUCCUCCACCAAUAUAAAGAAACACAUAUGCACAAGGGCACCCCCUUUCAAACUUCUAUCCUAUGUACUUAGUUGGAGAGAAGUUUCUCAAUAAAGCAGGAUCUUCAAAUACAUUUCCCCAUAUUUAUGUUGCCAGGUAUAACCAUGAUUUUAAUAUUGUCGAUGAGCCUCUAAAGGGAGACUAUAGGAAAACAUGUAGUCCACAAGUAAAUCAAAUAUCUCUGUCAACUGAGAGUGAUACUCCUUAUGUAUCUUCAUGUUAUAAGAAGUCUCUAAGAAUGUAAUAGUGUAGGAAAUGGUAAAACAGGACCUUAUUUUCAAAAAGCAGUAAAAGGGAACAGGGCAUUUCAAGAUUCAGAGAUUUGAAACAAUUAAACAAAGCACUAAGAGCAAUAUAAGAACUAUAUCAGAUAUAUAUAUAUAUAUAUAUAUAUAUAUAUAUAUAUAUAUAUGAAACAUUUAGGCCUCAUAGCAUGAUGAAUUGUUAGGAAUAAAAGAGUAAGUUUAGGCUGAGAUGAUAUAGAUCUCAUAUCUAUAUUGACAUAUCUAUAAGUGACAGUGAUAGGAAAUUAAAGAGUUGAGUGGGAGUGGAAUGUGUUGUUAACACUGGUGUGAAAACAUUACUCAGAGUUCUCUAGUCCAUAAUAGCUUUGUAAAACGAAAUCACAUAAUAAAGUAUUUUAAAAUGGCUCACAAUAUACUCAGUUAGUCUUCUAACAACUUGUGCUUUAAAGACUCUGCUGUGAAAUGCUAAUUUUGCAUGAUGCUGUCUAUAUUGAAACCUUACUUUCCCAGCAUAGAAUUGCAAGCCACUCUCUGAUAUCUGAAUGAGGUUAGUAUUUGAAUUUAACCUGACCCUCAGUCUCAAUAACUGAAAGAUUUACAUAGAUGCUAAAUACCUAAAAAUCAUCAUAGUGAGAAAUUCCUAUUUUCUGCAAUUCCAUCAAAAGCAAUACAAAUCUAGUAAGAAACAGUAUUGUCAGAGAGAAGCAAUUGAAAAAAAAAGUUCUUAGCAUGUCCCAUAGUCUUUUACUUGUAAAAGAAAUUUAAAUAAAAAAAUUGAAAAGAGAAGGUUUGGUAAUCUAUCCAGGGUUAUUUUUAUGCAUUCCCAAUGGUUAAGUUUUAUUUGGAAGUUUAAUAUGUUUGUUCAUGUACUGUAAGGGAGAAAUUCAUAUACUAGCACACUUUCAUUUGUCAUUUCCUUGUCAUAUCAUAAUUCUUCCAUUAUUGGUUGAGUUGCAUUGUUUUAAUAUUUUACAUAACU